AGCGGCGGAUGGGUGAGUAACACGUGGGGGACCUGCCCCUAAGUCUGGGAUACCAUUUGGAAACAGGUGCUAAUACUGGAUAAUAAAGCAGAUCGCAUGAUCAGCUUUUGAAAGGCGGCGUAAGCUGUCGCUAAGGGAUGGCCCCGCGGUGCAUUAGCUAGUUGGUAAGGUAACGGCUUACCAAGGCGACGAUGCAUAGCCGAGUUGAGAGACUGAUCGGCCACAUUGGGACUGAGACACGGCCAAACUCCUACGGGAGGCAGCAGUAGGGAAUCUUCCACAAUGGACGCAAGUCUGAUGGAGCAACGCCGCGUGAGUGAAGAAGGUUUUCGGAUCGUAAAGCUCUGUUGUUGGUGAAGGAGGAUAGAGGUAGUAACUGGCCUUUAUUUGACGGUAAUCAGCCAGAAAGUCACGGCUAACUACGUGCCAGCAGCCGCGGUAAUACGUAGGUGACAAGCGUUGUCCGGAUUUAUUGGGCGUAAAGCGAGCGCAGGCGGAAAAAUAAGUCUAAUGUGAAAGCCCUCGGCUUAACCGAGGAACUGCAUCGGAAACUGUUUUUCCUGAGUGCAGAAGAGGAGAGUGGAACUCCAUGUGUAGCGGUGGAAUGCGUAGAUAUAUGGAAGAACACCAGUGGCGAAGGCGGCUCUCUGGUCUGCAACUGACGCUGAGGCUCGAAAGCAUGGGUAGCGAACAGGAUUAGAUACCCUGGUAGUCCAUGCCGUAAACGAUGAGUGCUAAGUGU
rnacentral:rRNA from 1 species